rnacentral:rRNA from 1 species
UACGAGGGGUGCAAGCGUUGCUCGGAAUUAUUGGGCGUAAAGGGUAGGUAGGUGGUCUCGUUUGUCUGGGGUGAAAUCCUUGAGCUUAACUCAAGAAGUGCCCUAGAAACGGCGAGACUAGAGUUCUGGAGAGGGUCGUGGAAUUCCCGGUGUAGCGGUGAAAUGCGUAGAGAUCGGGAGGAAGACCAGUGGCGAAGGCGGGUCUCUGGACAGUUCCUGACGCUGAGGCACGAAGGUCGGGGGAGCAAACGGG